CUUCUCACAUUAUCAGAAUAGAAGGUCUAUAAGUAAAAUGAGUUCAAAUAGUCAAUGGAUGUACAAAAGAUUAACCAAAGGUCUAUAUGAUCCUGAAUUUGUAAGGGGUGUACAACAUUUUAUUGAGUUUGCUAUGAGUCAUCCAGAAGGGAGGGAUGGUGAGAGACUAAGGUGCCCAUGUGACUGAAAGAAAUGUCAAAAUAGAAACUUUGAAAAUGUUCAUACUGUCCAUUGGCAUUUAUUAAAAGAAGGUUUGUACUGGGAUAUCAUGUAUGGUACUUGCAUGGGGAAAAUGAAGUUGCGAGAAGCAUAGAUCAAGAUGAAAGGAUACCAUGGGAUCAUACUAUGAAUGUUGGUGCAUUUGAUGAUCCUACACCUACUACAUCAUAUCAUAGAAUGGUUCAUGAGGCUGCUGGUCCCGCAUUUUUUCCAGAUGAUAUAAAAGAAUUACCUAAUCUUGAUGCACAAAGUUUUUAUGAUAUGCUUAAAUCUGCAAAUCAAGAAGUGUGGCCUGGUUGUGAAACACAUUCAAAAUUAUCAGUUGUUUCUCGUUUGUUGCACAUCAAGCAUUUAUUAAAAGAAGGUUUUGUACUGGGAUAUCAUGUAUGGUACUUGCAUGGGGAAAAUGAAGUUGCGAGAAGCAUAGAUCAAGAUGAAAGGAUACCAUGGGAUCAUACUAUGAAUGUUGGUGCAUUUGAUGAUCCUACACCUACUACAUCAUAUCAUAGAAUGGUUCAUGAGGCUGCUGGUCCCGCAUUUUUUCCAGAUGAUAUAAAAGAAUUACCUAAUCUUGAUGCACAAAGUUUUUAUGAUAUGCUUAAAUCUGCAAAUCAAGAAGUGUGGCCUGGUUGUGAAACACAUUCAAAAUUAUCAGUUGUUUCUCGUUUGUUGCACAUCAAGACUGAACACCACCUCUCUGAUAGAUGUUUUGAUGACAUUUGUCAAUAUGUGAAUGAGAUGCUUCCGCCUGAUAAUGUGAUGCCAAAAAAUUUCUAUGAAACUAAAAAGUUAAUGAGGGGAAUGAACAUGUCAGUUGAAAAAAUUCAUACUUGUGUCAAUGCCUGCAUGAUUUACUGGGGAGAGGAUAGUGAGCUUGUAAAUUGCAAGUUUUGUAGUCAUCCCAGGUACAAGCCUACAAGUCAAAGAUCUCUUUCAGAGAAAAAACUUGUACCAUUUAAGCAGAUGUAUUACUUUCCUCUUACUCCGCGGCUGCAACGACUGUAUGCUUCCAAAGCAAUUUCUUCGCACAUGCGAUGGCAUGCUGAACAUGAAGUUGAGGAAGGUGUAAUGCGUCACUGUUCAGAAGCACCUGCUUGGAAGCACUUUGAUAAGAAGCAUCCAUCUUUUUCAGAGGAAAGCCGUAAUGUUAGAUUGGGGCUAUCAACUGAUGGGUUUCAACCAUUUGGACAACGGGAAACAAUAUUCAUCUUGGCCAGUAAUUGUGACACCAUACAACUUGCCUCCUUGGAUGUGUAUGAAAAAUCCCUAUUUGUUUUUGUCAGUUAUAGUUCCUGGGCCAAAGAAUCCUAAGCAGCAACUAGAUGUUUUCUUGCAGCCUUUGAUUGCUGAAUUGAAGAAUCUAUGGAAUAUAGGUGUCAACACAUACGAAGCACCUGCUUGGAAGCACUUUGAUAAGAAGCAUCCAUCUUUUUCAGAGGAAA
rnacentral:lncRNA from 1 species